rnacentral:tRNA from 1 species
GGGGAGAUACUCAAACCAACGAGGGCGGACUGUAAAUCCGCUGAUUACAUCUUCGCAGGUUCAGAAUCCUGCUCUCCCCA